GAUGAACGCUAGCGGCAGGCCUAACACAUGCAAGUCGAGGGGUGGAGUUCUUCGGAACUUGAGACCGGCGCACGGGUGCGUAACGCGUAUGCAAUCUACCUUAUACAGGGGAAUAGCCCAGAGAAAUUUGGAUUAAUGCCCCAUAGUGUUAUCGAAUCGCAUGGUUUGAUAACUAAAGUUCCAACGGUAUAAGAUGAGCAUGCGUCCCAUUAGUUAGUUGGUAAGGUAACGGCUUACCAAGACAAUGAUGGGUAGGGGUCCUGAGAGGGAGAUCCCCCACACUGGUACUGAGACACGGACCAGACUCCUACGGGAGGCAGCAGUGAGGAAUAUUGGUCAAUGGGCGCAAGCCUGAACCAGCCAUGCCGCGUGCAGGAAGACGGUCCUAUGGAUUGUAAACUGCUUUUAUACAGGAAGAAACACCUCCACGUGUGGAGGCUUGACGGUACUGUAGGAAUAAGGAUCGGCUAACUCCGUGCCAGCAGCCGCGGU
rnacentral:rRNA from 1 species